AGUAAGGCCUGAGUUGGUACGGAAGCUAUCCACGAAGUUGUACGAAUUCCAUGAAUGGUACAUGAAGCAGUUUGCCGACGAGAGGCUCAUGUUCGGUCUUUGGGUUAAACCGACUGAUUUUUUUGGCGAAGGUGCUAAAGGAUGGAAUUCAAGGAUUAUAUGAAGUGUACCAUUAGGAUGCCCUUGACAUCUCUCUCAUUAGUGCCUGGGUUCUGUAAGUGUCUUUUUAUCUAUAUGUAAAUUUUGG
rnacentral:lncRNA from 1 species